AGUGAACGCUGGCGGUAGGCCUAACACAUGCAAGUCGAACGGCAGCACAGUAAUAGCUUGCUCUUACGGGUGGCGAGUGGCGGACGGGUGAGGAAUACAUCGGAAUCUACUUUUUCGUGGGGGAUAACGUAGGGAAACUUACGCUAAUACCGCAUACGACCUACGGGUGAAUGCAGGGGAUCUUCGGACCUUGCGCGAUUGAAUGAGCCGAUGUCGGAUUAGCUAGUUGGCGGGGUAAAGGCCCACCAAGGCGACGAUCCGUAGCUGGUCUGAGAGGAUGAUCAGCCACACUGGAACUGAGACACGGUCCAGACUCCUACGGGAGGCAGCAGUGGGGAAUAUUGGACAAUGGGCGCAAGCCUGAUCCAGCCAUACCGCGUGGGUGAAGAAGGCCUUCGGGUUGUAAAGCCCUUUUGUUGGGAAAGAAAAGCAGCAGGUUAAUACCCCGCUGUUCUGACGGUACCAAAAGAAUAAGCACCGGCUAACUUCGUG
rnacentral:rRNA from 1 species